CGGGCUGAGCAAAACAAACCAAGAGAGGCCGCUGCGCCUUUAAAUCCCCGCGCGCCCUCCCCGCCAGCCGCGGGAAAACGCCCCCGCGCCCUCCCCUCCGCUGAAGACAGAGGGCACCGGACAUGUUACAGGCCCGAUUAUUGGAAUGAAGAGAGGAAUCUGUAGGAGGUCUCAGAAGAGAGGAUGUGUGCUGGAGAGGAACUUGCCCAAUGAGUCUGCAGCUCACUUUUGCAAUGAUGAGUGGCAAAGAUAAAGCAAGUGGACAAACAAUUUGCCCUCAUGCUUACACCUUGUCAUCAGGGAUGCUGGGAAAAUAAAUGCAGAAUUAGACACUAUGGCCUAAAUCCUAACUUGAGUGGCUGGUGCCUAGAACAAUUGGACUCCAAGUAGCAGGGAGGAAGGGAGAGUCAUGGAGCAGCCACGAGGAUACACACCUCGAAGAACAGUUGUCACUGCACAAGGUGCUAAGGAGUGCGGGUGGUUAGAGAAGAGCAGAGCAGCCACCGCUGAAGUGGUUCGUGUGGACCAGAGCUGAGGAAACAGCUCAUCUUCUUCCUUUUUCCCCUCCUCUUGUACUGGAGUGGCAAGACUGUAACCAAAAAGUAAUUUGUAACUAAAUGAAAUUAAAAGGUCAACAGGAGAGAGUGAAGAGAGGAAUGCCUGAAGCGGCAAGAGAGCUCUGUCCCACCACCAAGGACAGUAGAAUAGGAACUGAAGGGGAGUCAGGCCUCACACAAAGCACUCAACCACCAGCAGUGCGAGCUGCCUGCCACACGUGCAGCCCAACUGCUAACUGCUAUGAAAAAGCUCCGAUUCUGUGGCUCCACGGAUGACCCGUCAUCUUAAGUGGAGCACCCACAGGACAACACCCGAAGAACAACAAAGUUCCUUUCAACCUGUCCCAGCCUGCACUUCACUGCAAGGGAGGGCUGUGACAGUAUUGUAUUGCACCCACUCUUGUGUAUUUGCCCCAAAUUCUGUGGGCUACAUGAGGAUUAAUGAAAGCUUAUGCUACUCUGAUUCUGUUUAUGCUACUCAUACACAUGUAUGAUUUUUGCAUGUAAAGUUAUGAAUAUGGGUUCUGUACUUGAUUUGAAAUGUUUUCUGUCUCGGAAACUGCAGUGGGCAUUGACCACCAAUUGUGUGGGGUGGUUACUCAAUGAAUAGCUAUGUUGCAUGGAAAAUGGAUCUUAAGUGUUGCCAAUAAACACCAAAGGAAUUCUGCUGGGAACCUGCAGACCAGAAGUAAGCCUGGCUGUUUGAAUAAAAAGGACAUGGACAAGUUCCAUUUUGGGAGGUAUCAUCACACCGGAGAACAAUGGAUUUUCCUCCACAUUAGCAAGAUUAUAAAAGGAUCCUGGAGGUUCCUCCUCUUUGUCUUCACUCCUGCUCUUGACCUCAGCAGCAUACUUACUAUGAACAGUGAGCCCAGAAGGAUCUGUUGACCCAUCUUCACAAAGAAUGCACUCCAGACACUUUCAAGAUAGCAGUUUAUUAAAUCUAUGUUAAAAGACUGCAUCAAGAACUUGGUGAUUGAUGUAUGUAAUAUAAUUUCUUUAACAGUUAUACUCUGAAACAGUUAUUUCUUUCUUUUAAUAAACAUUUAGAUUUCAGAUUCUAAAGGAAGGUGGACACAGAAUAGCCACAGCCCAUGCCUCCCUGCGAAAGAGGGCACCCACCGAAUGCCAGAGGACCACACCUCCCUACGAAGGAGGGUGGCUGCUGAACGCCCAAAGACCACUGAAUGCCUCAGGUUGGGAGGCUGCUGAAUGCCCAAGGGCAGUGCCUCCCUGCAACGGCAGGCAGCCACUGAAUACACAAGGGCUACGCCUCUCUGUGAGGCUGAGCAUCUGCUGAAUGCCCGAUGGCCGCAACUCCCUGUGAAGGUGGGCAGCUAUGGAAUGCCUGAGGGCCGCAACUCCCUGUGAGGACAGGAAGCCGCCACACAGCCAAUGGCCACGACUUCCUGUGAAGGCAGAUGGCUGCUGAAUAGCUGAGAGCUGCGGCUCCCUGCAAAGGAGGGUAGCUGUUGAAUACUCAAGGAGUGCAACUCUGUAUGAGAGCAGGCAGCCAACCAAUGCACCCUAGGCCACACAUCCCUGAAAAGGAGGAUGGCCACCAAAUGCAAAAAGGUUGUACCUCCCUGUGAGGGAGGGUGUCUACUGAAUGAGGAUUGUGCAUCCCUGCGAUAGAGGAUAGCUGCAAAAUGCCCCCAGCCCGUGCAUCUCUGAAGGAGAGUGGCCCCUGAAUUCCCAAGGGCCAUGUUUCCCCAUGAGGGAGGACGGCAGCUGAAUGCCCCCGGUCUAUGCCUCCCUGUGAGGAAGGGUGGUGGCCAGAUGCCCAAGGACAAGCAUCCCUCUGUGGGAGGACAUCCACCGAAUUUCUAAAGGCUACACCUCCCCGCGAGGGAGGACGUCCGCCAAAUGCUCGAGGGCUGAGCCUCCCUGCCAGGGAGGGCAGUUGCCAAAUGUCCAAAGGCUGUUUCCCCCUAAGAGGGAGGGCAGACGCCAAAUGCCGCUGGCCCGCCCCUCCAUACAAAGGAGGGUGGACGCUGAAUGUUUGAGGACCACACACUUCCCUUCAAGGGAGUGUGUCCACUGAAUUUCGGAAGGCCGCACCUCCCUGCAAGGGAGAAUGGCCUCCUAAUGCCGUCCCGGUGCACACCUCCCUGGGAGGGAGGGUAGCCACUGAAUACCUCUGGCCCGAACCUCCUUGUGAGGGAAUCCGACAAAUGGCCGAGGGUUAUGCCUCCCUGUAAGGGAGGGUGGCUGCCAAACAGCCACUGUUCACGCCUCCCUGUGAAGAAGGGCAGCUGCAAGGGAGGGCAGCUGUUGAAUGCAUCCGGCCUGUGCCUCUGUACAAGGGAGGGUGCCUGCUGACUGCCCGAGAGCUGCACCUCCCUGCGAGGGAGAGUGUCCACCGAACUUCCAAAGACCGCACCUCCCUGCAAGAGAGAGUGGCUGCCUGAUGCCCCCGUGUACACCUCUCCUCACCUGCAAAGGAGAGCAGCCAUCAAAUGCAUCUGGCCUGUGCCUGCCUGUGAAGGAGAGUGGCAAACAAAUGUCCAAGGGCCACACCUCCCCACGAGGGAGGGCAGCUGCCAAAGGUCAAAAGGCUGCAUUUCCCUGAGAGGAAGGGUGGUCGCCGAAUGCCCCUGGCCCUCCCAACCGAAAAGGGAGGGCGGUCACUGAAUGUCCAAGGACCGCACCUCCCUGCGAGGGAGGGCGUCCGCCAAAUUUCCAAAGGCUGCACUUCUCUGCAAAGGAGAGCAGCCACCUCAUGCCCCCAGCGCACACCUCGCUAAGAGGGAACGUAGCUGCUGAAUACCCCUGGCCCACGUCUCCCUGCAAAGGAGGUAGUCCGACGAAUGUCUCUGCAAGGGAGGGUGGCUGCUGAAUGCGUGAGGACUGUGCUUCCCUGUGAGGGAGGGUGGCUGUUGAAUGUGAAAGGGGCAUGCCUUCCUAUGAGGAAGGGCAGCCACCUAAUGGCCCAGGCCCAUGUUUUUUUCAUGAGGGAGGGUGGCUGCUGAAUGCCCUCCUUGCUUGCGCCUCCCUGUGAGGAAGGGCAGCCGCUGAAAGCCCCUGGCCUGCGCCUCCCUGUGAGGGAAUACUGGCAAUGAAUACCUGAGGGUUGCUCCUCUGUGCGACGGAAGGCAGCUGCCAAAUGCCCCCAACCUGCACCUCCCUGCAAGGGAAGGCAGCUGCCAAACGGCCUCAGCCCAUGCCUCCCUGUGAGGGAAGGUGGCAGCUGAAUGUCCGAGGGCUGCAUGUCUUGCAAGGGAAGGCAGCCGCCGAAUACCUCCAGUCCCUACAAGAGAAGGCGGAGGACAAAUACCAGAAGGCUGCACCUCCCUGCAAGGGAGAGUGGCCACUGAAUGACCAAGGACUGAACCUUUCUUCAAGGGAAGGCAGCCUCUGAAUCGACUUUUCAGUUUAGAAAAGAGGAGACUGAGGGGGGAUGAUAGAGGUCUAUAAAAUCAUGA